AGGGCUUAUAGUUACUUGGGAAUGAAAAUGUAGGUCAGAUCCAACAUCCGAAGCAAGUUUGGUAGUGUACAUCCCUAGAUGCAUCAUCCAUGCAAGUUUGGUCCGAGUAGGGCUUAUAGUUCCUUGGAAAUGGACCUGCUCCAAAAACUUUAACCUGGUCACUCAUCUGGAAAAUGUAGGUCAGAUCCAGCAUCAGAAGCAAGUCUGGUAGUGUACA